rnacentral:lncRNA from 1 species
AAAAAUGUUCAAGAAUCUUUACAGUAACUGUUACAGACUAAAUUGUGUACUCCCCAAAUUCAUAUAAUAAAGCUCUAUACUCCAAUGUGACUAUAUUUGGGCCUACAAAGAGAUGAUAAUAAUGGUUAAGUGAGGUCAUAAAGCUGGAACUUUAAGUUGAUUGGGCUGCUUCUUAAUAAGAAGAGGAAGCAACACCAGAGAUAUUUCUGUCUCCAUUUGUACAUACAAAAGAGGCCAUGUGAGGACACAGCCAUUCCUCUCUUCUGAGCUCCUCUCUGGCCAACUUUAACUCAUCGAUUGGUUCUGCCACCCGCAACGUUGGCUCCAAAGGCCUGUAGCGUUGUUCUAAUACUUCGGUGAUAUCUCGGAAGGGCCCCUGACAAGACAGGAUGAGGAACAUAUUUUAUAUGGAAGAUUUUUUUGAGGUUAUCACUAACAAGACACAGCUGGAGUUACUGCAAGCACUGAGUGAAGACUGUGGGGCUAAUAAAAAGAAAUGAUUCACGCCUCAUUUAUGUUCACUUAUGCUUUACAUUAAUAGAAACCAAUAAUAGGAACCAGUUACCAUAAAAGUCAUGGACCG